GUCGCUUUAGCUCACUUGGGAGAGCGCCAGACUGAAGCAAUCCGCUCCGGCGGCAAACUUCGGUUCACUUCGAUCAUCUGGAGGUACUGUGUUCGAUCCACAGAAGCGACA
rnacentral:tRNA from 1 species